AUGGAACAGAAGCAGGUGGGUAAAGAUAGUUCACAGGAUCAAAUGCUCUUUUGUUGUUUCUCAAGGAAAGCAGAAGAAAAAAAUAGAAAAAAUAUGUUCAAAACUGUCUAUAUAUCACAUAAAAAAGACAAUAUUUUAUGCCAUAAGACAGUCAAGCUCUUAAGAAGUUUCAAAAUGGACAUAAAACUGUUGGCUCUAGAGGGCAGUCAUUCAAACUUACAGCAGAAGUGGAUGGAAUCUGCUGCUUUCAUCUCUCCCUUCAGAGAUGCUUUUCAACUUGACUGGAGUUAUAGAGCUAAAAUGGGAAUGUGGGUGGGGUAAUAACAAAAUACCCCGAGUACAGCUUAUGGUAAUGUUUCUUUUCUGUCUAGGGAAAGAUCUGGUCUCUAACAGGUUGGGGUUUUUGGGUAGAGGAAGCUGGUUCAGAUCUGGCUUAGCUUUGGGAAAACCAAAGUGACUCUCUCUGAAUAGCUGAAAGUGGGCACUGCAAAAAACCAGAAGGAAUGAUGCCAGCAGCAGGCAGUGACAGGAUGUGCUUUCUGUCAUGGCUAAGGGUGGAACAGAUACAGUCGGCUCGUCCAAUGCUGGUCCCUCAUCACUGAGGCAAGUGGCAUAGGGAAGCUGAGACUUCCCAAAUCCACACAAUGCCUAUCUGGGGAAUACUUACAAGACUCCCUUUUAUUAUGAUUUUAACUCAGUAUCUUCCUAUAGAAUCAUAUAUGUGAUUCUAUAGGAACAAACCACAUACAUAUGUGUGGUUUCAAAUUUAAUGGAAGUAUUACAGCUUUAGCAACUAAAAAGGAAAGAAAAAAGUAAAGAAUAUAUCUCUCCUGAUGGAGCAACUCCAGAUUAUGCACUGCACGGUAUGGCCCAAGGGAUGUCCAAUGCUUGCUUCAUUUGUGUCCUUUGACAUAGAUAUGCAAGUCAACCAAUAUAUAUAUAUUAAAAAUUAAGUAAGUUUCUUCAAAGGAAUGAUAUCUUUUCUCUACCAGUUUAUUUCCUUUGCAUGUAUAUUUUAUGGGGAAGAAAUAACAAAUCUGUUACCCUGUAAUUAAAUUGGAUUACAGAAUAAUUACAGUCUUGUUUGCUUUCUGCAGAUUACAUGGUAAUUAUACUUGGUAUUACCAUGAAAAACCAAGAAUUUCUAACUAUGUCAUUACAUGGUCAUUUCUACAAUACAAUACAACUGUUUAAUUAUACAUGCAGUUUCUUUACUUCAAUGGAAAAAUGAUUAAAAUAAUGCCAAAGCCUCAAAGUUCUGAACAAGUGCCAGCAUAUUAUAUAACAUUUAUAGUAUUGGUAGGCAUUUGUUUGUGUAUUU
rnacentral:lncRNA from 1 species